GAUGAGAACGUAGCGAAAUGCGAUAAGUAAUGUGAAUUGCAGAAUUCAGUGAAUCAUCGAAUCUUUGAACGCACAUUGCGCCCGGCAGUACUCUGCCGGGCAUGCCUGUUCGAGCGUCAUUUCAACCCUCAAGCCCUGCUUGGUGUUGGGGCCCCACGGCUGCCGUGGGCCCUGAAAGGAAGUGGCGGGCUCGCUACAACUCCGAGCGUAGUAAUUCAUUAUCUCGCUUAGGGCGUUGGGCGGCGCUCCAGCCGUUAAAGAACCAUCUUUAACUCAAGGUUGACCUCGGAUCAGGUAGGAAUACCCGCUGAACUUAAGCAUAUCAAUAAGCGGAGGA
rnacentral:misc_RNA from 1 species